ensembl:snRNA U6 U6 spliceosomal RNA
GUGCUCGCUUCGACAGCACAUAAACUAGAUAUUGGAACGAUACAGAGAAGGUUAGCUUGGCUCUCACACAGGGAUGAUGUGCAGAUUCGUAGAGCAUUACAAUUGAUU